GACGAACGCUGGCGGCGUGCUUAACACAUGCAAGUCGAACGGAAAGGCCCUGCUUUUGUGGGGUGCUCGAGUGGCGAACGGGUGAGUAACACGUGAGUAACCUGCCCUUGACUUUGGGAUAACUUCAGGAAACUGGGGCUAAUACCGGAUAGGAGCUCCUGCUGCAUGGUGGGGGUUGGAAAGUUUCGGCGGUUGGGGAUGGACUCGCGGCUUAUCAGCUUGUUGGUGGGGUAGUGGCUUACCAAGGCUUUGACGGGUAGCCGGCCUGAGAGGGUGACCGGCCACAUUGGGACUGAGAGACGGCCCAGAGUCCUAAGGGAGGCAGAAGUGGGGAAUAUUGCACAAUGGGCGGAAGCCUGAUGCAGCAACGCCGCGUGCGGGAUGACGGCCUUCGGGUUGUAAACCGCUUUCGCCUGUGACGAAGCGUGAGUGACGGUAAUGGGUAAAGAAGCACCGGCUAACUACGUG
rnacentral:rRNA from 1 species